UACGUAGGGGGCAAGCGUUGUCCGGAAUCAUUGGGCGUAAAGAGCGUGUAGGCGGCCCGGUAAGUCCGCUGUGAAAGUCCAGGGCUCAACCCUGGGAUGCCGGUGGAUACUGUCGGGCUCGAGUCCGGAAGAGGAGUGUGGAAUUCCUGGUGUAGCGGUGAAAUGCGCAGAUAUCAGGAGGAACACCGGUGGCGAAGGCGGAUCUCUGGGCCUGUCCUGACGCUCAGGCGCGAAAGCUAGGGGAGCAAACAGG
rnacentral:rRNA from 1 species